rnacentral:lncRNA from 1 species
GUGCCAUGGAGGGGCUGCGAUCUUCUGUGGAGCUGGACCCUGAGCUGACUCCUGGGAAGCUGGAUGAGGAGAUGGUGGGGCUGCCACCCCAUGACCCGAGUCCUCAAGUCACUUUCCACAGCCUCGAUGGGAAGACAGUGGUGUGUCCACACCUCAUGGGCUUACUGCUGGGUCUCUUACUUUUAUUGACUUUGUCUGUUAGGAACCAACUCUGUGUAAGAGGUGAAAGGCAGCUUGCAGAAACACUGCAUUCACAGAUGCCUACAAGAAGGUGAAUAGCACCAACG